rnacentral:rRNA from 1 species
CUAACGAGGAUUUCCUUAGUAACGGCGAGUGAAAAGGAAAAAGCCCAGCGCUGAAUCCAAUAGAUUAUUAUUGCUAUUUGGAAAUGUAGCGUAUAGGUGUAAUUAAUCGUAACAUAUUUUUACACCCAAAGUCCCCUUGAGCGGGGCUACAGUCCAUAGAAGGUGCUAGACCUGUACGGGUGAAAAAAGUUACGAUACGAUUGCACUUUGGAGUCGAGUUGUUUGAGAUUGCAGCUCAAAGAGGGUGAUAAACCUCAUCUAAGGCUAAAUACGACCACGAGACCGAUAGCAAACAAGUACCGUGAGGGAAAGUUGCAAAGAACUUUGAAGAGAGAGUUCAAGAGGGCGUGAAACCGCUGAGAUGGAAACGGAUAGAGUUAACGAAACUUGUAUCGGUAUUCAACCAAUCAAAUUUAGCAAUUUUAAUUAUUCAUUUAUUCAUUAUUUAUAAUUAUAAUGGAUAGUGAUAAUUAAGAUUUCUAUGCUAGAUUUAUAAUUAUAUAAAAUGAUUGGUGUAUUUACCGAUGGUAUGCAUCGAGAGCUUCGUUUAAUAAGCAUAUUUAAUGCAAUAUUUAGUGGACCAAUUAUUCAAAAAUAUUAAUAAUAAUUGGAUAUCUAAAUAUGUUAAAAAGAUAUGUCUUAAAUGAAGUUUUAUUUCCCAAAUUAAUAUGUAACUCUAUCAUUUAUUAUUAUGAAUAAUGAUAAUAAAUAUUGAUACAUGCAUUGAUUAUAAUUUUUUUUUUUCAAUUAUUUUUMMUGGGGGGAYGSGUWUGCGRGAUUAAAUSUGRUAAAAAUUAACUKUARAAAAUGUUAAUCGCCAUSYUUUUUUUUCUGAGUUACAUCUCGAUGUGAACGUUAAUCACCUAUCUGACCCGUCUUGAAACACGGCCCAAGGAGU